rnacentral:rRNA from 1 species
UACGUAGGCAGCAAGCGUUGUUCGGAGUUACUGGGCGUAAAGGGUGCGUAGGCGGCUUUUUAAGUUUGGUGUGAAAUCUCCCGGCUCAACCGGGAGGGUGCGCCGAAUACUGAGAGGCUAGAGUGCGGGAGAGGAAAGUGGAAUUCCUGGUGUAGCGGUGAAAUGCGUAGAUAUCAGGAGGAACACCGGUGGUGUAGACGGCUUUCUGGACUGUAACUGACGCUGAGACACGAAAGCGUGGGUAGCAAACAGG